GCCUUCAUUAGCUCAGUUGGUAGAGUGGAGGACUGUAGAGAGUUUACCUAGGCAUCAUUAGGUCGUUGGUUCGACUGUCUCAAAGGAUUUGAGCUACA